UGGUCUAGUGGUUAGAACUCCUGGUUUUCACCCAGGCUGCACAGGUUCAAGUCCUGG
rnacentral:tRNA from 1 species